GAUGAAGAACGUAGCGAAAUGCGAUAAGUAAUGUGAAUUGCAGAAUUCAGUGAAUCAUCGAAUCUUUGAACGCACAUUGCGCCCCUUGGUAUUCCGAGGGGCAUGCCUGUUCGAGCGUCAUUAUAACCCCUCAAGCUCAGCUUGGUGUUGGGGCCUGCUGCACUGGCAGCCCUUAAAAUCAGUGGCGGCGCCAUCUGGCUCUAAGCGUAGUAAUUCUUCUCGCUAUGGAGUCCUGGUGGAUGCUUGCCAUCAACCCCCAAUUUUUCUAUGGUUGACCUCGGAUCAGGUAGGGAUACCCGCUGAACUUAAGGAUAUCAAUAAGCGGAGGA
rnacentral:misc_RNA from 1 species